rnacentral:tRNA from 1 species
GGGGUUGUGGCUCAGAGGUAGAGCGCUUGCCUAGCAUGUGUGAGGUCCUGGGUUCGAUUCUCAGCACCA